rnacentral:ribozyme from 1 species
UGCCCAGCAACUCCUAUCCCUACCUCCACGCGGUACCGUCCGGAAACUAUGAGCAACCUUAGGGAAGAUCGGGUAACCAACCCCGGUGGGAACUGUCGUAGGCUGACUGGGAAGG